rnacentral:lncRNA from 1 species
GCAGAAGACAGCAUACGAGAUAGUAACAUUAAAAUAUUACUCUACUUCCCUCUAAUCAUUCCAUGAAUAUUUUUCAGAGUUGACAUCCUGUGAAAAACAUGGUUUUAUAAUCUCUCCCUUAAAAUUAUUUUAAAAACUUUUCUAUAAUAUAAUCUGUAAAAAUUUUAUUUCUUCACAUAGAUUUUAUUAUAGUUUCUCAAGCCAUUAUUCAAUUAUUAGAUAUUUAAAUAGCUUCUCAAUUUUUAUUAUAUACAUUUCAAUGAAUUUUUUUACCUAAAACCCUGUAAUGAACAUUUCCAGCAAAGUAAUCAAAUUAAUAGAUAUUUUUCAAAUACCCCCACCAACCCUUACCAAGAAGCUGUUUUAAAACUGGCUACAGUUUAACAUAAUUACAUAUUUUU